AGUAAGCUCGUAGUCUUUUCCGGUAAUGAGAUCAAACGGUUGUAUGGUUCAGGCAAAGCGUUUUGAAAGAAAUUAAGAAAAUAGAAGAGUAAGAAAAAUCAACAUUUACUAGUGAAAACUUUGGAAAAUGACUCCAAGGCUGAUAUAGAAUAAGGACGUUCAGUAUUUAAUCAUGGGCUGUUGUUCUUGGCGACAGUUCGUACUCAUCAUAUGCGUCUUACAAGUUGUAAGUUUAAAGCUUUGUAUUUUUAAUCUCGCAUUUUUGACCUGUAUACACCUGUAUGCAAACCCGUAAAGACUGAUUAAACUGAUAAAUUUGCAAAUAGCAACUUAAUUUAUCAUACUGAAUAGUUGUCGAGGAUCAUAAAUAUAGUCACUACCGGACUUAGAACAUUAUUAUUGUGUGCCAAAGCCGAUUAGCGAAAAGCGUGAUGUCUGAGAGGCAUUAGCAAGUUUAAUGAAUAGAUUUUUUUUGUUUUAUUCAUUUUAUUUGCAACCGCAAGAAUUUGACUAUCUAUAUUUGCAACAGAUUGCGACGCUCCAGAGGUUAGUCUUCGAUUUUAUGGGCUAUAUGUGGGGCUCAAUUACGGCGAAUAUAGUUAAUCUAAUCGUUGUUAUUGUUGGAAUUGUUGGAGCUUAUCAAUAUAGAGGAAAAGUUUUGUUACUGUAUGCCGUAUGGUGCACGUUGUGGAUCGGUUGGAAUGCUUUAGUGAUAUGUAUUUAUCUAAAAAUUGGUCUAUUUGAAAAUAAGAAUUAUGGUGUGCUAGACUUUGGGACUGACCAAAAGAGUUUUUGGUUCAAUUACGGAAUUGGCUGUGAAACCGAAAAACAGGUUAGCACGCCCAAUUUAUCAUCAACCCUAACUACAGAAUCGGCUAAAGGCGCUAGCGGUUGUAUCCUAUCUUACGACUAUGUAGAAGUGAUUCAUGCCGGGGUACAAGUUCUGCUGGCUUUAAUGGGUUUUGUCAGCGGAAUUAGGUUAGCCUGUUUAUAUAUGGAAGAAGAUGAUAGCUCAGUAUCGGCUCAGGAAGAACUUGAAUUUAUUAAAAUGCCAAAUCGUACGUCACGUCGAAGUCCUCCUCCUACACACCUUCCAUAUUCAUCUCUGCAGCAGUCGAAUACGUCGAGCUCAGGUUUUACAGACCUUACAAUUUGUACCGGUGAUAAUAAUACCCGUCGAGCAUCUCGAAAACCCCACUCACCAUCAAAAGAUCGCCCUCAAGCUCGACCAAGGCGUCCACAAAGUAACUACUUAGCCUCAAAUGGAAGAAGUCAGCCUGCAUAUGAAAACGCUGAAUCUUUGAGGCAUCAAAAUCAGCAUAAUGCAGACUGUUUGCCUGCUCAACCUCCUCCUUAUCAAUUUCCGGGACCACCGCCAGGAACGACUGUUAUUUAAGGCCGUUUUUUAUUGUUAUAUACAUAUAUAUAUAUACAGUAUAUACUGUAUAUAUUUAUAUAUAUAUAUAUUUAUAUACUACGAUUUGUAUACUUCUUUUGCAAAGUUUGUAUUCGCUGCGUCUUAUUAAUUUGUGUAUACGGAGGUAUGUGUUCAUAGGUAGCGAAUUUAAUUAUUUAUGUAUACAUGUAUAAUAGAAAAAGUUUGUACAUGUAUAGGUUGAUAUUUGAAUCUACAACUAUGAAAUAUGCUUGUCUCUAUAUAUAUGUAUAUAUGUGAAAAUGUAUAUUUAUACCCCAGGAGCAUAUUAUCCAACUAGGAUGUAUAUAAUUCAUGUAGAAUAGUCAUGCCUCUAGUCAAAGGCUGUGCACAUUAACGUAAGCAGAUAAAAAAUUGUUUAUGUAUAUGAAAAAAUUAACAGCGAUAUUUUUUUGAAGUAUUUUCUGCAGUUUCACUUUAUUAGAGAAUUUUUAUGUGAUGAUGAGGUUUGCUUGGUGCUAAGAGGAUGCCUCUUUACGUCUAGAAAAUUGAUUUGUUUACGUAAACGAGCGUCUGACUUUACGACUUAAACCUGAAUGUGCAUCGUAAGUUACAAAAGGAAUAAAUACUAAGACAAGCUUGGUCCUCUUUAUACACAAAAUGAACAGAGAAUAGGUAAAACAUAGAAAAGUGUAUUGCUCCACAUUCCUAAACCAAUUGAAAACAUUUAAUAAGGAACUCAACCAAUUUAUAAAUUCUAUUUGCUCAACAAUUUUUCUAUCUGUAAACUAUAUUAAUAAUUCAUCAUUCUCUUCAUCAGCUAAUUUUCUUUUCAUUCUUUUCGGCUUACUUCCACCAUCUCCCAUCUUAGCCUCCUUAUCAAAUCUAAUGGCUUUAUUCUUCCCUUCCUGCUUCUCCACAGCUUUGUCGAGCAAUCUUAAAAAGUCCCUACUGGAUGGUUGCUUAUUAUUUCUUUGUGAGUCAGUUUGAGGGGAGAGUACCGGUAAUUCCAUAGGAAAAUUAUUCAUCUUCCUAUAAUCAGAGUGGGAAUAAUUCUCAGGCUUGUAUUCAGGGAAAGUUAUAUUGGCCUUUUUCAGCUCGUUUAUAUAAUACAAUGUUUCUUUUUUCAGAUCUCUUAUUUUUCGCUUAAAGGUCUGUUCGUUAUUUUUCAUUCCGUCAAUUACGAUGUGUUUGGAUUCCAGCACCUGCGUAAGAGUCUUUAUUUCGAUCAUCUUUUUCUCAAAAAUUUUUUUCGUUUCAAUACGACUUUUUCUGUUCAACUCCAUCUUUUCCUUACAUUCAAUAUUUAAUUGAUUGAUCUUCGCCUCUAAUUGCUCGCUCUCUUUCGCCAUUCUAACUAGUGCUCUUUUUAAUUUCUCCUCUCGAGAUUCUGCCAGCAAGCAUUUCUUCUCCGAUAAUCUUAACUUUUCUAUCAGUUCUUUUUCUUUCUUUUGAAAUUCUAUUUGUAUCUUUACUUUAUCUUGAUUUGUAAUAGCUCCAGUGUGGUCAAUUUCGGACUUUUCAAGAGCCUCUCGGCACUUUUUCAAAUCAAUCUAAAAUAAUAUAAGAAAAAUUAAGAUAUAAACGAAACUAUAAAUAACAGAAGAGAAAAUAUUCUUCAAUAUUUAUUAUUCAGUUUGUGAAUAUACUGCUUUGAUAUGUUUGUUUAUUCUCCUAUAUUUAAAAUAACUUACAGUCAAGGACUGGACAGCGCUUUCGGCAACUUCUUUAUUGCUUACGGCUAUAUUAGUUAGUUCGACUUGUUUUUUGUAUUCAUUUUGAUAGAACGUAUUCUUCUCAUAAAUUACUUGCAUCUGAAAUUAGCGAUUGCAUUAUCCAACUAAAACUUUUCUUAUCAUUAUACCUCCUCUUCUUUAUCACGCAAUUUUAAUUGCGCUUCAACAUAAUCGGCCCU
rnacentral:misc_RNA from 1 species